rnacentral:lncRNA from 1 species
GGAAGCUUUCAAACUUGCCUGAGGUUUGGAAUUGGCUCUGAAUAAAAGGUGUUGUGUGUCUCAAGUGCCCUCUGAAGUGGCCGGCCCAAGGGCUCUCCAGCAGCCCAAACAGCCAGCACACAAAGCCAUUAAACAUCGAGUGCCUGCCCAUGGUUACCUGGAGAGGGUUUGCAGCUGAGCCCCGCAGGAACCGGCUUUGUCUGAAACACCACCCCCGGCAGGUGGGAAAAGCCCGGGCUGCUGAUGGCUCUCCUGCAUCUCCCAUCCAGCCAUCCAAGACUUGUCCUGCAGCCACAGAGGAUCCAGGCCAGUUUUGGGGGGCAGGGACUGCACUGCCACAGGGAACUCCAGACCUCAGUCCUGGGAGAGAGACAGAGCCAAGGCAGGUGAGGGCAGUGCCCUCUGAAGCAGGAGGACACAUCCAUGUGGGCCACUGUCCUUGGAUGUGGGAGGAUGGGAGGAGAAGAGGGCCAAGGCAUCUGCCUUGGAGAUGGAGAAGUCCUGCAGGCUCCCAGCUUGCCAUUUGUGCCAUCCUGGAGAAAGUGAAGUGAAUAAGAACAGAUUGAGACCAGUGAGAACAAUGACCUGGACUCUGCACCAAUCAAUCACCAAGCAGGAGACCUUGGAUCGUGCCAAAGGGUCACAGAGACCUGAUGAAGACCUCCUGACUUCAUCCUUUGAAGACCACUGACCCGAUGUGAGACCACUGACUCAAACCAAGAGAAGAAUUGUGCACACAUGAAGGACUAACAGCCUCAUGUUAAUACUGGAUGGGGAUGGGAGGUGCUGGGGUUAUGCAUAUGGAUUGUAUGGAAGAUCUUGGGAAAUAAACAGAUGGAAAAGAAGCUCGUUCA